rnacentral:rRNA from 1 species
CUGCCAGUAGUCAUAUGCUUGUCUCAAAGAUUAAGCCAUGCAUGUCUCAGUGCAAGCCACAUUAAGGUGAAACCGCGAAUGGCUCAUUAAAUCAGUUAUGGUUCCUUAGAUCGUACCCACGUUACUUGGAUAACUGUGGUAAUUCUAGAGCUAAUACAUGCAAACUGAGUCCCGACCAGAAAUGGAAGGGAUGCUUUUAUUAGAUCAAAACCAAUCGGUUCCGGCUCGUCCGGUCCGUUUGUCUUGGUGACUCUGAAUAACUUUGGGCUGAUCGCACGGUCAAAGCACCGGCGACGCAUCUUUCAAAUGUCUGCCUUAUCAACUGUCGAUGGUAGGUUCUGCGCCUACCAUGGUCGUAACGGGUAACGGGGAAUCAGGGUUCGAUUCCGGAGAGGGAGCCUGAGAAAUUGCUACCACAUCCAAGGAAGGCAGCAGGCGCGCAAAUUACCCACUCCCGGCACGGGGAGGUAGUGACGAAAAAUAACGAUACGGGACUCAUCCGAGGCCCCGUAAUCGGAAUGAGUACACUUUAAAUCCUUUAACGAGUAUCCAUUGGAGGGCAA